AAGUCAUACCCACACUUUCACCCAGCAAUUUUAUUUCUAGAAAUUUAUCCCUCAGCAAUUCUUGAACAAGUGGACAGAGAUUUGUGCAAAAUGUUUACUGUAGCACUGCUGCUAAUGGCUGAACGAAAAUAACCUCAUAGGCUUAUCAGUAUGAAUUUAGUUAAAUAAAUUUUGCCACAUCCAUAUAGGGAAAUACUUUGUAGCUGUUAAACAUAGAUCGAGAUGUACUGACCACCACCUUUUAUUACAGGAAAAUUACAGAAUAUAUAUAUAUAUGUAUAUUAUCAUCUCAUUUGUGGAGAGACAUAUGCUUAUACUUGCAUUAAAAUUUUCCAGGAUAUGCAAGAAACUUAGCAGUGGGGUGUGGAGUAUGGGUGAUGGGGAGUAAGGGCAGUUCCACUUUUCACUUUAUAACUUUCUGAAUAAUUUGAAAUUUUUUUUUACAAUGAGCAUGUAUUGCUUUUAUAAUAAAAAAUGAGCAAUGCAAUGUCAAAUGUGGACCUUACAUUGACCUUGAUUUGAACAAACAAUAAAAGGAUAUUUUAGAGGCAUCCAGGAAAAUAAAAU